rnacentral:rRNA from 1 species
AUGCAAGUCGANCGGUAAGAUCUNGCUUGCGAGAUACACGAGUGGCGCACGGGUGCGUAACGCGUAUGCAACCUACNUUCAACUGGAGAAUAGCCCCGAGAAAUCGGGAUUAAUACUUCAUAAUANCCAUUUAUCACAUGUUAGUUGGAUUAAAGCUCCGGCGGUUGGAGAUGGGCAUGCGUGACAUUAGUUUGUUGGUGAGGUAACGGCCCACCAAGACUACGAUGUCUAGGGGUUCUGAGAGGAUUUUCCCCCACACUGGUACUGAGACACGGACCAGACUCCUACGGGAGGCAGCAGUAAGGAAUAUUGGGCAAUGGACGAAAGUCUGACCCAGCCAUGCCGCGUGCAGGAUGACAGCCCUAUGGGUUGUAGACUGCUUUUAUACGGGAAGAAUCCCCUGUACGUGUACAGGGUUGACGGUACCGUACGAAUAAGCAUCGGCUAACUCCGUGCCAGCAGCCGCGGUAAUACGGAGGAUGCAAGCGUUAUCCGGAUUCAUUGGGUUUAAAGGGUGCGUAGGCGGCAUGUUAAGUUAGUGGUGAAAUCCCCCGGCUCAACCGGGGAACUGCCAUUAAAACUGCCAUUCUUGAGUAUAGUUGAAGUGGGCGGAAUGUAUCAUGUAGCGGUGAAAUGCUUAGAUAUGAUACAGAACACCGAUAGCGUAGGCAGCUCGCUAAACUAUAACUGACGCUCAGGCACGAAAGCGUGGGGAGCAAACAGGAUUAGAUACCCUGGUAGUCCACGCCGUAAACGAUGAUCACUCGCUGUUGGCGAUACACAGUCAGCGGCUAAGGGAAACCGUUAAGUGAUCCACCUGGGGAGUACGAUCGCAAGAUUGAAACUCAAAUGAAUUGACGG